rnacentral:lncRNA from 10 species
GCCUGAGGGGCGAGAGCCCCCAAGGCUGUGGGUAUGAGGCCGGGGCCCUGCACCGGAAGGGAGGGCGGAAGCCACGGGACGUGGAGCAGAUGGUGAGGAUAGUGGGGAGGUAGCAGCAGAGGAUGACCCGAGGCAAAAGUGCAAGUGAAGAAAAGUCGCCUUGCCGGGCAGAGGUACGGGACCAAGGCGCCUCCUCUGGGCUGAGGAGUUAGAGGGAAGAAAAUGGCGCCCUGUCAUGAGGGCGCGAGGUCCGAGUUGAGGGGAGAAGACUGAGGGACACAGAAGUGGCCGAAGUGAGGGCGCUGAGGUCAGCCUGAGCUGAGAGGGCCGGCAGAUCACGCCGCAGCCGAAGUGAACGAACUCGAGUGAGGAAAUUACUCCAGGAUUUGAAUCAUCACAAGAGAUUCACCAGAGGAUUUUAUACACUUGGGCUGUGGCAGCAGACUAAUUACAUCACAGCACUAGAGCUGAGAUACUGGCUGGGUGGAUUUCAGCAAAUUUCCAAGGGCACAUGACAUGUGGGCACAAAAGCCGGGAUUUCACACCAGGGGAUAAAGUAUAUCAGAAAUGAAGGCUGGGCAAGACAGGAAUGUUCCCCAAAUGACACUGCUUAAGAGAACUUUGAGGAGAACUGAGGGCAAGAUACAAGCCAUGGUUCUAUACAGAUAAGUCUACGGAAGCUGCAGAAAUAACAUUCCAGAUCCCCAGGAAUCCACCCACCCACCCCUCCGACUUUGGCCGAACACCAUGGCUGGCUGCCGUGUGAAGAAUGGACUGUAGGGGGUGCCAGAGUGGCUGUGGGAAACAUCCCCUAGAAAUCUAGAAUUCAAAGCACUUACUUUGAGUGAUAUAUCCACAAGAAAGAGCCUUCUGUGCUAAAAGCAAAA